rnacentral:rRNA from 1 species
UACGUAGGGUGCGAGCGUUAAUCGGAAUUACUGGGCGUAAAGCGUGCGCAGGCGGUUCGUUGUGUCGGCGGUGAAAGCCCCGGGCUUAACCUGGGAACGGCCGUUGAAACUGGCGAACUGGAGUGUGGCAGAGGGGGGUGGAAUUCCGCGUGUAGCAGUGAAAUGCGUAGAGAUGCGGAGGAACACCGAUGGCGAAGGCAGCCCCCUGGGCUAACACUGACGCUCAGGCACGAAAGCGUGGGGAGCAAACAGA